rnacentral:rRNA from 1 species
CUAAGAAUAUUCCGCAAUGGACGAAAGUCUUGACGGAGCGACGCCGCGUGGAUGAAGAAGGCCGAAAGGUUGUAAAGUUCUUUUGCUAGGGGAGAAUAAGUGAGGGAGGGAAUGCCCUCAUGAUGACAAGGACUAGCGAAUAAACCCCGGCCAACUACGUG